rnacentral:rRNA from 1 species
GACGAACGCUGGCGGCGUGCUUAACACAUGCAAGUCGAACGAUGAAGCUGGAGCUUGCUCCAGUGGAUUAGUGGCGAACGGGUGAGUAACACGUGAGCAAUCUGCCCUUGACUCUGGGAUAACUGCGGGAAACUGUAGCUAAUACCGGAUACGACACCUUGGGGCAUCCCGGGGUGUGGAAAGAAUUUCGGUCAAGGAUGAGCUCGCGGCCUAUCAGCUUGUUGGUGAGGUAAAGGCUCACCAAGGCGACGACGGGUAGCCGGCCUGAGAGGGUGACCGGCCACACUGGAACUGAGACACGGUCCAGACUCCUACGGGAGGCAGCAGUGGGGAAUAUUGCACAAUGGGCGAAAGCCUGAUGCAGCAACGCCGCGUGAGGGAUGACGGCCUUCGGGUUGCAAACCUCUUUUAGCAGGGAAGAGGCGAAAGUGACGGUACCUGCAGAAAAAGCACCGGCUAACUACGUGCCAGCCGCCGCAGUAA